GUUCUUUUGGCCUAGUUGUUAGAGCAUCUGCAUCAGAUGCAGGAGGUCAUGGGUUCAAACCCUGGCUGAGUCAUAACAAAAACA